rnacentral:rRNA from 1 species
GUUUGCUCCCCACGCUUUCGAGCCUCAGCGUCAGUUACAGACCAGAGAGCCGCUUUCGCCACCGGUGUUCCUCCAUAUAUCUACGCAUUUCACCGCUACACAUGGAAUUCCACUCUCCCCUUCUGCACUCAAGUUAAACAGUUUCCAAAGCGUACUAUGGUUAAGCCACAGCCUUUAACUUCAGACUUAUCUAACCGCCUGCGCUCGCUUUACGCCCAAUAAAUCCGGAUAACGCUCGGGACCUACGUAUUACCGCGGCUGCUGGCACGUAGUUAGCCGUCCCUUUCUGGUAAGUUACCGUCACAGUGUGAACUUUCCACUCUCACACUCGUUCUUCUCUUACAACAGAGCUUUACGAUCCGAAAACCUUCUUCACUCACGCGGCGUUGCUCGGUCAGGGUUGCCCCCAUUGCCGAAGAUUCCCUACUGCUGCCUCCCGUAGGAGUCUGGGCCGUGUCUCAGUCCCAGUGUGGCCGAUCACCCUCUCAGGUCGGCUAUGUAUCGUCGCCUUGGUGAGCCGUUACCUCACCAACUAGCUAAUACAACGCAGGUCCAUCUCUUAGUGAUGCAAUUGCACCUUUCAAGUCAACAUCAUGCGAUGUCGACUUUUAUGCGGUAUUAGCUAUCGUUUCCAAUAGUUAUCCCCCGCUAAGAGGCAGGUUACCUACGCGUUACUCACCCGUUCGCAACUCAUCCGCUCGGUGCAAGCACCAAGCUUCAGCGUUCUACUUGCAUGUAUUAGGCACGCCGCCAGCGUUCAUCCUGAGCCAGGAUCAAACCCUC